rnacentral:rRNA from 1 species
UACGUAGGGGGCGAGCGUUGUCCGGAUUUAUUGGGCGUAAAGAGCGUGUAGGCGGUCUGUCGCGUCUGCUGUGAAAAUCCGGGGCUCAACCCCGGACUUGCAGUGGGUACGGGCAGACUAGAGUGUGGUAGGGGAGACUGGAAUUCCUGGUGUAGCGGUGAAAUGCGCAGAUAUCAGGAGGAACACCGAUGGCGAAGGCAGGUCUCUGGGCCGAUACUGACGCUGAGGAGCGAAAGCAUGGGGAGCGAACAG